GGUAAUGUGGCUGAGAUUGAGGCAAUAAAUUGUAAAUUUAUUAACGAAUUUAUAUUCCGUUACCA
rnacentral:tRNA from 1 species